rnacentral:hammerhead_ribozyme from 1 species
AUCCAGAUGACGAGUCCCAGGUCGAACGAAAUGCGCAUCCUGGCUGGAU